rnacentral:rRNA from 2 species
AACGCUGGCGGCGUGCCUAAUACAUGCAAGUCGAACGAACUCUGGUUAUUGAUUGAAGGUGCUUGCACCUGAUUGAUUUAACAUUUGAGUGAGUGGCGAACUGGUGAGUAACACGUAGGAAACCUGCCCAGAAGCGGGGGAUAACACCUGGAAACAGAUGCUAAUACCGCAUAACAACUCGGACCGCAUGGUCUGAGCUUGAAAGAUGGCUUCGGCUAUCACUUUUGGAUGGUCCUGCGGCGUAUUAGCUAGAUGGUGAGGUAAAGGCUCACCAUGGCAAUGAUACGUAGCCGACCUGAGAGGGUAAUCGGCCACAUUGGA